CUCAGAUUGAACGCUGGCGGCAUGCCUAACACAUGCAAGUCGAACGGCAGCACAGCAGUAGCAAUACUGUGGGUGGCGAGUGGCGGACGGGUGAGUAAUGCAUCGGGAUCUACCCUGACGUGGGGGAUAACCUCGGGAAACCGGGACUAAUACCGCAUACGUCCUACGGGAGAAAGCGGGGGACCUUCGGGCCUCGCGCGGCAGGACGAACCGAUGUGCGAUUAGCUAGUUGGCGGGGUAAUGGCCCACCAAGGCGACGAUCGCUAGCUGGUCUGAGAGGAUGAUCAGCCACACUGGGACUGAGACACGGCCCAGACUCCUACGGGAGGCAGCAGUGGGGAAUAUUGGACAAUGGGCGCAAGCCUGAUCCAGCAAUGCCGCGUGUGUGAAGAAGGCCUUCGGGUUGUAAAGCACUUUUAUCAGGAGCGAAAUACCACGGGUUAAUACCCUAUGGGGCUGACGGUACCUGAGGAAUAAGCACCGGCUAACUUCGUGCCAGCAGCCGCGGUAAUACGAAGGGUGCAAGCGUUAAUCGGAAUUACUGGGCGUAAAGGGUGCGUAGGCGGUUACUUAAGUCUGUCGUGAAAUCCCCGGGCUCAACCUGGGAAUGGCGAUGGAUACUGGGUGGCUAGAGUGUGUCAGAGGAUGGUGGAAUUCCCGGUGUAGCGGUGAAAUGCGUAGAGAUCGGGAGGAACAUCAGUGGCGAAGGCGGCCAUCUGGGACAACACUGACGCUGAAGCACGAAAGCGUGGGGAGCAAACAGGAUUAGAUACCCUGGUAGUCCACGCCCUAAAACGAUGCGAACUGGAUGUUGGUCUCAACUCGGAG
rnacentral:rRNA from 1 species